GACGGAGGAUGCAAGUGUUAUCCGGAAUCACUGGGCGUAAAGCGUCUGUAGGUGGUCAAAUAAGUCAACUGUUAAAUCUUGAGGCUCAACCUCAAAAUCGCAGUCGAAACUAUUCGACUAGAGUAUAGUAGGGGUAAAGGGAAUUUCCAGUGGAGCGGUGAAAUGCGUAGAGAUUGGAAAGAACACCGAUGGCGAAGGCGGCUCACUGGCCCGAUACUGACGCUGAGGCACGAAAGCGUGGGGAGCAAACAGG
rnacentral:rRNA from 1 species